rnacentral:lncRNA from 1 species
GUCACUUGCCAUUUUCAGAUGUUUGUUUCUUGUAAAAUGAAAUCUCUUAAGAAGAAAAAAUAGCAUGGUCACCUGUAAAACUUACCUAUAUAACUAAUUUAUGAUGAAAUGACACAAGUUUAAUUGUCUUUUAUAAUAAAUUUCUUGAAAAAUCACGCGUACACGAUGUAAACAAAUUACCGAGAUGGCGCGAUACUGUCGCCGUCUAUGUAAAAAUCGCGAUUGUCGCCCUUGAUUAUUUGGCCGUUACGUCAUAUGGAAGGAGGUGCAGAACUGCUGCGUGGCUUUCC